GUGCUCUCUUCAGCAGCACGUAUACUAAAAUUGGAACAAUAAAGAGAUUAGCAUGGACCCUGUGCAAGGAAGACACGCAAAUUCAUGAAGUGUUUCAUAUUUUU
ensembl:snRNA U6 U6 spliceosomal RNA